UUCCUAAUUAGGCACUUUAAA
rnacentral:snRNA from 1 species